CCGAAGCUGAUGCUUAACCGACUGAGCCACCCAAGCGCCCCUAGAGAGAAAUUUUAUUGUGAUUAUCUAUCUUGGUGUUUUGUGUAUUUGUUUUACUUUCUAUUUUCUGCAUAUAAAAGGAUGUUUUUUUCUCUUUCUUCUUAAGUGCUCUGUGUAAUACACAACAAUUUAGUAAAUUACAUUUUGGCAAAGCGAAAUAAAACAAAGCGAUCUUAAAUUUUCGCUAAUCUCACAGAAUUCAGACACUAAGUAAGUCUCCUUACUGCUCUUGGAAAUUUUAGAUACUCUUACUGAGCAUAGGCUCAGUAAGAAACUGUCUUCCUUUCAAUCGUGAUAUAAUUAAACAAAUUGAUGGUACAAAAAAGAGGUAUGUGGAACAUUGUAUCUGAGAACAACGCUCGCUAAAUCAGGUAUAAAAUUUGUGCUUUUCAAGACAAUGUCUACAAAAUCCUUUGAGAAAAACUGACCUAGUAGCUGGCUCCCAGGGGUCAGCCAUGUUGGUGCCCUGGAAGGUUACCUCCUGAUGGGUUAGGAGGCUUAGGAUAUUUGGGAGACUUCCAGAAAAGAAUUGAAAUGUAUAGGACUCUGCAGGAGAAAGCUGGUGGAGUGGUGGGUAUGGUUUUCUAGCCUCAGAAGAGCAGAUAAGAAAAGUUCUUAAAAUCCAAGCUGAUCCCUCAUGCAAAGUCCAGAUGCAAGGCAAUUUUGUGGCUAGUUCUGGAUGCUUCAAAGCGCUCGCAAGAGGGCUAUGGAGUAGUGGGCACUGUGGAAAUAACCAAGCCAAACUCGAUGGAAGCCUUAUUUUGUGCUCAAGAAUAAUCUUGCUUUGAGAUUAGUAUGAUUGCAGGGGACAGACACUGUCGGGAAAAAAAUGUGAUAGAAUUUGAAGUGGCCAAAAAUACUCUUGGAUGUCCUCAAUGGAAAACUAGUGUUUCAUGUGUCACCUUCUGAGCUAUCUGAUUCUCUUGACAACUCUCAUUGUCUCUGGGCUAGUUUACAACUCUGUACAUUGUUGGUAAAUGAUAGCAAAGUAAAUGUUCCUUGCCUGCAGGCACAGUGAUAAAUUCCGUGUGGUAGAAGCCAAUGUAUUUCCACUCUCAAGGAAAAAGGCGUACCUAUUUGACUUGGAAAUUCAUUUCAUGGCCUGUAUUUCUGCUCCUGGAACUAGUGUAACCUCUUACGUAUUCCCAAAUGAAUUAAACCUUAAAAAAAUUAGCCAUGGCUUUACUACAACUUCUACUGCUGCAUUUAUUUAGUGAACACUCUGUAAGCAUUUGCUAUUUGCUGGGCUCUGGGAAUACCCAGUCUACACGGUCUUCUUCUCCGGGAGCCCACCGCUUAGGAAGAGAGGGAAAAGUAAACAGCGAUGAGUGUCCAGUACUUAAGGUCUGUGAUAGAAAAGGCUGCACCAAGGUCUAGGAGCACAGAGGAGGGCUGCAUUCCACGCUGUCAGGGUGUGAGGGUGUGUCUGGAGAGGGGCAGGUGAGAAAUGUCGUUGGGAUACAGCCACCAGAAUGUGGCAUAUUGAUGGCUCCCGUUAGCAACUUAGAGUGUUCAUACCCUUUCUCCUGAGAGUCUUGGCUGCUAUUGGAAUUUGCAAGGACAGUACCUUUGGGCUACUCGUUGACUGGUGCCCGGGGACAUCGGCUGCUGUGAUGGUCAGUUUCAUGUGUUAACUUGACUGGGCCUCGGGGUGCCCAAACCUUUGGUCAGACAUUGUUCUGGGUGUGUCUUUGAGGGUGUUUGGGGAUAAGAUUAAAAUUUGGAUCCGUGGACUGAGUAAAGCAGAUGGUUCUCCCCAAUGUGGGUGGGUCUCAUCCCAUCCCUUGAAGGCCUGAAUAGAACAAAAAGGCUGACUCUUCUUCCAGAAGCGGGACCUCCUCCUGCCUGAGUGCUUUGAGCUGGGACUUGAGUUUUUUCCUGCUUUUGGGCUCAUACCGAAAACAUCUGCUCUCCUGGGUCCCUAGAUUGCCAACAGCAGAUCUUGGGACUUGUCAGUUUCUAUAACUAUGGGAGCCAACUCCUUAUAAUAAAUCUCCUUCUGUAUAUACACUCUGCUCUGUUUCUCUGGAGAAUUCCGAGUAAUAGAGCUGCCUUGGUCCUGACUGGAUCUCUCUCUUCUCUCCUUCCAGCCCCCACUCCCACCCCCAAAUAGCCCUCCUCCUCUUUUUUUCCCUGAUACACCGUAGACUAAACCGCAAACUGGAGUUCCUUUGUCACCGAGCAAACUCGUAAUCCCAGUUUUCAAGUGUAAUUUUUACAAUAUACAAACAUUGCAAUGAGGAUGGGACAAAGCUACAGUCCACCUUAAGAGGAGCAGCUCUGGCUUCUAGACUUCCCUUGGACGUUACUUUGGAUCCUGGCUGAUGUGUGUUUCAGCUUGCUCAUUCACUGUUGUGUCACUCUGGGUCCUCUCGAGAGAGUCCUUCCCAACGCUAGCCCUGCCGGAUUUGCAUUGUCCUCCUACCAGGUCGGGGUGAUUUCCAGGGCCUCCCGGGACUUGUUCAUGGAUGUCUGAUGACGUAGACCCCCUCUCUGUGCCAGGCCACUCUGGGGUCCUGCUUCUGCCCUCUGCCCGGUGUGGCCCACUAGCCACGGCUCCUUGCUUAGGGCAACUUUGCCUUCUUUUCCUCUCUUGCUAAGGCUUGGUCGUUCUCAAAAGAGUUGUCUCCCAAAGAUGUUCACAUCCUAAUCCUCAGAACCUAUGACUCUAUAGGUUACCUGACAAAGGAGGAUUAAGGUGGCAGAUGGAAUUAAGAUUGCUGAUCAGCUGACCCCUGGUGGGCCCAGUAUAAUCACAAGGCCCUUAAAUGUGAUACCGGAGACAGGAGAGAGCAGAGAAGGAGACGUGAAGGAUACCACGGUGGUGUGAUCUGGGAAGGAUGAGGUCUAAAGUUACUGGCUUUGAGCAUGAAGGAAGGGGUCACCAGCCAAGGAACAUGGGCAGCUGGUAGAAGCUGGAAAAGGCAAAGAAAUAUGUUUCCCUGGAGUCUCCAGAAGGAGCACCUUGGUUUUAGUCCAGGGAGAUUCGGUUCUGGCUGAAUGGCAGAGUAUAGCAAAGUCUGAGCUGGGUGCCAGAGAGCCCCGGGCGCCAGAGUACUUGAACUUAGCCCUGCUCUCUUGCUCUUGCCCCGUGUCUGCUGGAGCUCUGGGUGCCUCCCAGGUGUCCUUGCCUCCUCAUGGUGCCACUGCUCUCCUGGCGUUCCCCACUCUCUGACGCUCAACUCUGCCCAUCCUGGCCCAGGUCCUACGUCUACAGGUCCCCUGUAGUGAAUAACCCGUUACCCCUACGAGGAGGAAAUGGCCAGGCGAAGUAGGGGAAAGGCGAAUUUUGGACAUAAGUGUAAAGUCUGCUCUAGGUCACAUCUGAGAGCUGCACUGUCCAGUUAAAUAUAAGUUAAUAUUCCUUCAUCCACUUAAUUAAAAACUAAGUCCUCUGUUGCACUAGCCGCCUUUCAAAGUCACAUGUGGCCAGGGGUUACUGGGCUGGACAGUGCAGAUCUAGGACCUUUCCCUCCCCACAGAAAGUUCUGUCGGGUGGUGCUGCCUCAACAGACCAACGGGUCCGCUGCUUUCUGAGCGGGGAAAUUGAGGCACAGUGGACCAGGGCUUGGACUCCAGGCUCAGUGCUCUGAUCAGUUCAUCGUUCGAAGCCUCUGGCAGACGAGAAUUCAGGCUGCACAUUCCAGCGGCGAGAAGACGCCUAGAGUGAAUAAAUAAUGCGAUCGCCACGGUUUCGGAGGGAAAAGAUCUCUAAAUCCUUGAGAUGAUUGCAACGCAGUCCUGAAAGCUGAUGGAGAGGGGGGCCAAGGAUUGAGUUACUCCUGCCUUGUUUGCUUCUUGAUACUUCCCUUUUCUUGCUCCAGUCCAUUUCUCCCAUCCACUCCUUCCAUGGGCAGCCAUGUUUCUUUUUAGAGAGACAGAGCAUGAACGGGGGAGGGGCAGAGAGAGAGAGAGAGACACAGAAU